rnacentral:lncRNA from 7 species
GAGCCCUCCGAUAAAGCUGCCAGGGUCGAAACGCCAUUGGCGUGAGGUGCGUAGGUAGGGAAACUCGACGACACCGCUGUUGUUCCGCGUCUGCGCUAAUAUUCUGGUGGCCGCGGUAGAUCGAGGGGUUGCUCUUGAUGGUGGGCAACCUAGUCGAGGCAUCGGCAAGCCUGGGGGAGCCCUGGAACUUCACCAAUUGCUCACCGGAGAAUCACAUCCGCCGCGGGCCACACCGCCCCGUGGCUGUGGCUCGUCUCGACACCACCCCGGGUAAGUAGUUACCUAAUCGGUUCGCCUAGCCAUCCUCUCCACAAUUUUACGAAGAAAUCGCGAGUAUAGUGCUCGGUCUUCGGAUCGCCUGAACACUGGUGAUAGGGCUACCGCAGAUUAGGUAUGACCGCCGGGUUUGGAACCUAAUCUCUAGUAGAACCACGCCCGUGGACUCGCCCCAAACCCGUUGGGUGUAGCUCCUGUCGAAUCGAAGUGCCGGCAGCGUGGGCGUGUGCCUGGGUGUUCGGACAUGGCGCCACCGUGCCGGAGUCAUGUGCAGCUCCGGCCAUUGCCGUUGAGUAUUGGUUAGGCGGCGUACUGACCGUUAGAUUUUCGCCAGUUGGCUAGGAUUAGCUCUGGGGAGGAUGCACCGUGAACCGUUGAUCGGUUAAUCAAUGGGGAUGAUCAGGGGAUUGGAUCCGGGUGGUGUGAACCACUGAUCUCGUAGCGAGUGGUGGAUCGGGGUUCAAAAUGUCUGGGUCGUCUGAUCUUAAUCCAGCGACUAUUAGUGCAUACCGGUUCUGGCGAGGGUUAGAUCUAAUCGGAGCCAUCCAGAAUUGAUCCAACGGCCCUGAUAUGUCGAUACCCCUUCGCCGUUUGAUUUUGUAAAAGAGCCCUGUAGAAUCCAGUAAUCAACCCGGUCUCCUAGGGGAGGUGUAGAUUGUGUCUAGGUUCAUUUUGCGCCUGAAACCCUACCUUCUCUGGUAUUUGACGCGCUGUCCAGGUAAUUAAUAAAACUAGAGAAAAUUAUAUAGGAAAUGAUUUUCAAUAUAAAAUUAAUUGCAGAAACUUAAUUAAUUCCUAGAAAAUGCAUCUUUACUCCUUUUUAGUCCAUUCUAGUUCCUAUAAUUUUGUAAUAAUGUUGUUUAUCACAUAGUGACACUGUUUUAACAUGAAAAUGGUAUUAAAAUUUAUUUCUUAAUUAAUCUCGUAUCAAGUACAUAAAACCUUAGGAAAUUUGUAACUUCUUCGUUUUAAAUCCGAUUUGACUCGUUCCAAUUGCGUUAGCUUCAUAUAAAUAUUUAGUAUACAGUGAUAGUAUUAAUUAUACCAUAUUGCAUAAUUUUAUAGUUAGAUAUUUAUUUAAUCUAUGUUAGUAGAUUUACCCUUUUAAUCAAAGAUUAAUCUGUUUAUGAUUAUAAGGUGACUAAACAUGAUCUAGAUUAAAGUUGAAAUGAUUAUUUAGAGUAUAUUUUCUCAUAAUAAUCAAUUUAUAAUAUAAUUUAAUGUUCAACCACAUAAAUCUCUCAUAGAUCACAACUCCUUAACCGUAACUCCGAUCUUAGUGAUUCUUGAGCCCACGAUCUCGUAGCUUCACGUAGAUCAUUAGUAGUCAAUUUGUCGUUAUGUUUGGUGUAAUGUUAAUUUUGUCUAUACUAUGUUUGUUUGUAUUGCUACGACUAGCAGUGAGGUCACGAGGAUCUCAAGAAUCACCCUGGUAACUGGAAUCUCAAGUGCCAGGCAAGUUGUGCCCUUGAUCCACUUUUGUUACCCAAUAAUAUUCUUUAUUAUCACUAUUCAUGCAUAGGUUUAAUUAGGGAUGAAAACGGUCGGAAACGGUCGGUAAACACUAAAACCAUUACCGUUUUCAUAUUUUUUUAUCGGAAACAAAAUCGAAAACGGUAACUUCGGAAACGGAAACGAUAUCGGUAUUUCGGAAACAUCGGAAACGAAAGUUUGGUACGGAAAAUACACCGGUAACGGUCGAAAUCUAAAAUACAAUCGGUAAAUAUAUCAAACUUCAUAAUACAACAAAGUUGACAAAAGAUCACAAAGACUAAAAGUUCACAAUUCAUGAUAUAACAAGUUCACAAUAUAAAAAGUUCACAAUGAUCACAAAUUUAUAAUAUAAAAAGUGUACAAAGAUCACAAGUUCACAAUAUAACAAGUUCACAGUAUAACAAGUUCAUAAAGAUCACAAGUUCAUAGUCUCAAAGUUCACAAUUCACAAUAUCCACUCGAUCUAGCUGACAUGGCAUGCUUACUUAUGAAAUAUUUUUUCCUCACAUAAAGAGUUUUUCACAACCUCACAGAAAAACCCUAAAACCUAGUGUGUGGAAAAGACCAAAUCGUUAAUCUCAACUGCCUUCCAACACCAUCUAUCCAAAAAAAUCUAAAGGUGUCCAAAAAAUACAAAAAUAAGUAAUCCUUAUCUAGAGACGUACAAGCGAUGCGAAAAAAUCACAUGCUGGAAAAUUCUGAAAAAUUCCGAGACACAAUUCCGAAAAAUUCCGAGAUACAAUUCCGGAAAAUUCCGAGACACAAAUCCG